UUUGAUAAAACAUUAAGGCUAUUUUUGUGACUUUUGACUUUGAGUGCUAGUUUGGGAACAAAAACUUGAUUUAGUGCUAUUUUUGUCUUUUUCUCUAAUUUAUAUUCUGUGUUAUGAUUUCUUAAUAUCCAUCAAAGGUGUGUGAUACCAAGACCCUUCUAUCGGUUUAAUCAUGAAGAAAAAACCUCAGCCCCUUACAGAUCGGUAAAGAAUCAGUAGAAGCUAUGGUUUGUUUGCGGACUACAAAUAAUAAUUUCGAGGACUUCGUCUCGAUGUGAGAUCUUUAUGCCUUGCAAAGGUAAUUCUAAUCUAUGAUUUUCUGUUUAAUAUAAUAGUUUAGAUAAUUAAACUAAGAUAAAACAGAAAUCAAAAUCUUUAGCUGAAGAGUAGGAUGGAAUGAGUUAACAAAAUCUAGUUGUAAUAUAGACGAACAACUCUUUAGGGAGAAACAGAGGGACAGGGGAUAGAAGUGAUUUAUAGAAAAGCUCAGGCAGAUGAGAAUGAGUUGUAACAUCACAUAGCAAAGGGAAGGCACACUAAUCAUGUAGUCAAUCUUAAAUGUAUGUGUUCUUAUUUAGAUAUGAUUGUCUCCUAAUUUAAAUUCAUUCAAUCAUCAUUUAGUACUAUGAUCAUAUGCUGUAUUGAACUUUUUAAAAGUGUCGCAGUAUAGACAUGGAGAGAACCAAGAAUCUGUAAUCAAAAUGCAAAAGAAGACAACAACCUUGACUGGACAAAAGACGUUUAAUACGGCUUAAUUGACUCGGCAAUGACAUGGACCUGUAUCGAUCUAAAUUGGGGUUUUGAUUCUGCAUACCAAGAUAAACCGAGGUAUUAUCUAAACUGAAAUUGGACGAGGUAUUAUCUAAACUGAAAUUGGAUGUUUAAGUUUAAUUAUGAAAAUCUAUUUAGGAGGGUCUCUAUUAA